rfam:Schistosoma mansoni, Puerto Rico, WGS project CABG01000000 data, contig: 0163
AUCCAGCUGAUGAGUCGGAAAUAGGACAAAACGAGCUUCCUGCAU